rnacentral:rRNA from 1 species
GAGUUUGAUCCUGGCUCAGGAUGAACGCUAGCGGCAGGCUUAACACAUGCAAGUCGAGGGGUAACAUUGUAGCUUGCUACAGAUGACGACCGGCGCACGGGUGCGUAACGCGUAUAGAAUCUGCCUUCUACAGAGGGAUAGCCUUUAGAAAUGAAGAUUAAUACCUCAUAACACUUUGGAAUGGCAUCGUUUUAAAGUUAAAGAUUUAUCGGUAGAAGAUGACUAUGCGUCCUAUUAGCUAGAUGGUAAGGUAACGGCUUACCAUGGCAACGAUAGGUAGGGGCCCUGAGAGGGAGAUCCCCCACACUGGUACUGAGACACGGACCAGACUCCUACGGGAGGCAGCAGUGGGGAAUAUUGGGCAAUGGAGGCAACUCUGACCCAGCCAUGCCGCGUGCAGGAAGACUGCCCUAUGGGUUGUAAACUGCUUUUAUACAGGAAGAAACGUACCUACGAGUAGGUAUUUGACGGUACUGUAAGAAUAAGGACCGGCUAACUCCGUGCCAGCAGCCGCGGUAAUACGGAGGGUCCGAGCGUUAUCCGGAAUCAUUGGGUUUAAAGGGUCCGCACGCGGUCGAUUAAGUCAGAGGUGAAAUCCCAUAGCUUAACUAUGGAACUGCCUUUGAUACUGGUUGACUUGAGUAAUACGGAAGUAGAUAGAAUAUGUAGUGUAGCGGUGAAAUGCAUAGAUAUUACAUAGAAUACCGAUUGCGAAGGCAGUCUACUACGUAUUUACUGACGCCCAUGGACGAAAGCGUGGGGAGCGAACAGGAUUAGAUACCCUGGUAGUCCACGCCGUAAACGAUGGACACUAGUUGUUGGGAAUCAUCUCAGUGACUAAGCGAAAGUGAUAAGUGUCCCACCUGGGGAGUACGAUCGCAAGGUUGAAACUCAAAGGAAUUGACGG